rnacentral:rRNA from 1 species
AUUGAACGCUGGCGGCAGGCCUAACACAUGCAAGUCGAGCGGCAGCGGAAAGUAGCUUGCUACUUUGCCGGCGAGCGGCGGACGGGUGAGUAAUGUCUAGGAAACUGCCUGAUGGAGGGGGAUAACUACUGGAAACGGUAGCUAAUACCGCAUAACGUCGCAAGACCAAAGAGGGGGACCUUCGGGCCUCUUGCCAUCAGAUGUGCCCAGAUGGGAUUAGCCAGGAGGUGGGGUAAUGGCUCACCUAGGCGACGAUCCCUAGCUGGUCUGAGAGGAUGACCAGCCACACUGGAACUGAGACACGGCCCAGACUCCUACGGGAGGCAGCAGUGGGGAAUAUUGCACAAUGGGCGCAAGCCUGAUGCAGCCAUGCCGCGUGUAUGAAGAAGGCCUUCGGGUUGUAAAGUACUUUCAGCGGGGAGGAAGGUGUUGAGGUUAAUAACCUCAGCAAUUGACGUUACCCGCAGAAGAAGCACCGGCUAACUCCGUGCCAGCAGCCGCCGUAA